rnacentral:rRNA from 1 species
UACGUGAGGCAGCGAGCGUUGUUCGGAGUUACUGGGCGUAAAGCGCGCGUAGGCGGCCCGGUAAGUCCGGCUGUAAAAGUCCAGGGCUCAACCCUGGAAAGCCGGUGGAUACUGUCGGGCUAGAGUCCGGAAGAGGCGAGUGGAAUUCCUGGUGGUAGCGGUGGAAUGCGCAGAUAUCAGGAGGAACACCGAUGGCGAAGGCAGCUCGCUGGGACGGUACUGACGCUGAGGCGACGAAAGCGUGGGGAGCGAACAGG